rnacentral:rRNA from 1 species
GACGAACGCUGGCGGCGUGCUUAACACAUGCAAGUCGAACGGAAAGGCCCUGCUUUUGUGGGGUGCUCGAGUGGCGAACGGGUGAGUAACACGUGAGUAACCUGCCCUUGACUUUGGGAUAACUUCAGGAAACUGGGGCUAAUACCGGAUAGGAGCUCCUGCUGCAUGGUGGGGGUUGGAAAGUUUCGGCGGUUGGGGAUGGACUCGCGGCUUAUCAGCUUGUUGGUGGGGUAGUGGCCUACCAAGGCUUUGACGGGUAGCCGGCCUGAGAGGGUGACCGGCCACAUUGGGACUGAGAUACGGCCCAGACUCCUACGGGAGGCAGCAGUGGGGAAUAUUGCACAAUGGGCGGGAGCCUGAUGCAGCAACGCCGCGUGCGGGAUGACGGCCUUCGGGUUGUAAACCGCUUUCGCCUGUGACGAAGCGUGAGUGACGGUAAUGGGUAAAGAAGCACCGGCUAACUACGUG